rnacentral:rRNA from 1 species
AGUGAACGCUGGCGGUAGGCCUAACACAUGCAAGUCGAACGGCAGCACAGUAAGAGCUUGCUCUUACGGGUGGCGAGUGGCGGACGGGUGAGGAAUACAUCGGAAUCUACUUUUUCGUGGGGGAUAACGUAGGGAAACUUACGCUAAUACCGCAUACGACCUACGGGUGAAAGCAGGGGAUCUUCGGACCUUGCGCGAUUGAAUGAGCCGAUGUCGGAUUAGCUAGUUGGCGGGGUAAAGGCCUACCAAGGCGACGAUCCGUAGCUGGUCUGAGAGGAUGGUCAGCCACACUGGAACUGAGACACGGUCCAGACUCCUACGGGAGGCAGCAGUGGGGAAUAUGGGACAAUGGGCGCAAGCCUGAUCCAGCCAUACCGCGUGGGUGAAGAAGGCCUUCGGGUUGUAGCCCUUUUGUUGGGAAAGAAAAGCAGCAGGUUAAUACCCCGCUGUUCUGACGGUACCCAAAGAAUAAGCACCGGCUAACUUCGUG